UAGAUCUGCUCUAGACUGUGAGCUAUACCAAUUACAAAAUGAGCAACGAUUCAAAAACCAAAGUUGAAUCACAUCGAAACAACAAAGCAAUGAUCACAACAAAUUUCUGAAAAUACCGAAUUGAAACUCGAUUUAAGCCACUGUUGAUUACUAAGAACUUCGAAUUGAAACACAAAUUGUAUAAUUUUAGAUUUCAGAGUCCGGUUUGAUCAACUUACCUGCUAGCAUCGGCAACAGGAGCG